UAUGAAAAAUGUUUUACUUCUAUAAGUUAUUAAUGAAUUGGUAUUUAUAUUAUAAAGGUAUUUGUUUAGUUCAAUAAGUUAUUAAUGAAUUGGUAUUUAUAUUAUAAAGGUAUUUGUUUAUUUCAUAUAUUCAUUUCAAAGUAUCGUACAAAUUUGUUAUUAAAUCCGACAAUAUAGUUCAUAUAUUCAUUUCAAAGUAUCGUAUAAAUUUGUUAUUAAAUCCGACAAUAUAAUAUGAUUGAGAGAAUAAUGAAGUAUUGUUGAUGUGACAGUAAUAUAAUAGUAUUGUGGUUGAUAACGUGACAAUCAAUAUCAGCAACAUAUCAUCAUGUAGUCAUCUAAAUUAUAUUGUUUGGAUUUGAUUGUAAUAAUCUAAAACAUUACGAGCCGAAACUAGAAAGAUUUACGUUUGAGGAUUAAAAUUAGUGUUGGUGUUAUAAUUUGAGGAGCAAAAGUGCAACUUAGUCUAAAUAC
rnacentral:lncRNA from 1 species